rnacentral:tRNA from 1 species
CAGAGUGUAGCGCAGUUGGUAGCGCGCAAGCCUUGGGUGCUUGAUGUCGGGAGUUCGAACCUCUCCACUCUGA